UGCAGUCGCGCGCUGGCGGGGAAGGGGCCAUUCGAAGCCCCGCGUGCUCUGGGCGCUGGUGAAGGAGCGAAUGGAGAGGGCCGCGUUCUUGGCAACCUUCCCAGCCGGCUUGGGGCACGUUUGUCUCGAGUUAGUCACGAAGGGAUCGAAGAGAGCCCCAGUCCUCGAGGCUUUCCCUUCCUGUGAGUCCCUGGAGGCCAGCACUUUGAUUUUUUUCUUUCGCAGAACAAUUUCGAAACUCCUCAAUCUGUGCUAGACAUAGCUGUAGUUUUGUCCUCAGUCAACUAGCAAAGAUAGAGGUGUAAACAAAUUUCGACACAGUGUGAUGACUGCAACAAAAAGAAGCAUUAUGAGGUUAAAUAUAAAAAGGUAACAUUAUCGGUGGCGGAGGGUCGGAGGAUGUAGGAAAGGCUUCCUGAAGUAGGCGCAGGUGAAACUGGCGUUUGAGAGACCAAGUGAAAUUUGAUCAAGCGCAUUUCCGGUAGAAAGAACUCGCGUGGUCCCUUAACUUACUGGAGCAAUCGGAGAUAAACUGAGCAGGACUUUGGAAUUUGGAACUCAAGACUCCUAGAGCCUAGGAGUUGGUGGUGGUGGUGGACAGCAUCCUGAAGGGAGGGCUACAAACUCCUGCUGAGGUGAUGAUUUCCCAAACCACCUACUUCCUCCUGCCUUCCCUGAGGUCCAGUUCUCCAGGUCUUCCUUAAUUGCCAUGAGCUUUAUGUGACUGACACAGACGUGGAAGAGAUCUGGUCCUUAUGAAGAAUUCUGUGCUCGCUGGAAAGAUUUGUAGGUAUAAUGAAAUGUUUUUCUUCACUGAUGAGAUGAAGUCUCUGUUUUUCAGGCAAGUUGACUGAACAGAACAAUGAGAAACAAACUUCUUUAGAAGGUUGAAUGAAAGUAAUAUCUAGCUGAAAAAGACAUUGGCCAAAAAUAACUUUUUUAAAAAACCAUUCUAUGUUAACCCUUAAAAAAAAAAAAAAAAAAAA